GCAAGUCUUGAUCUAGAAGAUCAAAGAGUAUUAACGAGACAUAUGGUCACGAUAAUGGAGAUAAAGCUCCAAUGAUUUUAAUGAAACAUAUGGCCACGAUGAUGGAGAUUAAGCUCCAAUAUCAGGGCAUAAAGGCCCAGACGAAAGGAUUUUCUCAAACAUAAUUCCAUACUACUCUGGACUGCAGGGACAGAACCAUCUUUGGCAGCAGUAAAGGGGGUGAACUUCAUUAGACGUGGCAGCAAAUGACGACGAACCAUCUUUGGCAUUUUUAAGAGUAACAUCGACCCCAAGACCUUGACAUUCUGCCUCGUGGCAAUCCUUCAAGAUUUUUAUCGCAUCAUACCAAAACGAGAGAGGUUUGGCCUUCAAAGAUUGCUGGCUUUUUAAUUUGGUUCAACUUGUAAGGAAAUGGAAGGAAUAGGUUAACAGUCGAUUCACUUUUGAGUGUCAGUGAUACACAUUUCUAUAGUAAACUUUUCUUUCUCCAACUCACUAAUAAAUAAUUAUUAUUAUAGAUUGAAGAAAAGGGAAGGAAAAAGAGCACCUGGAGAGAAUGAAUUGCAAGGAAUGGAAGAUUAGGUGACCUGGAAUAGAUGUUCGUUGAAAACGUCUUCGAGCGACCAUGAAAACAAAUAAUGGCGGUGGAGGAACUUCUGAUCAGCCGAAAGUCACCGGAAAACUCCUCCUCCUCCUCAUUGCCUGAACUACCGACAACCAUAAUCUUCUCAUCGCUAUUGGCACUUAGAAAUCAAUUUUUUCUUAUACCAAACCCGAUUCGUCUGUCUGUGUGCGAUCCCCUUGCAACGCCGACCUCGAUCUGGAUUCUGGAGGCAGCUCCGUCAGCUCGUCGACCCUAAUCAAUCUGAAGGCAGCUUCCGUAGACCUUGAUGUGUAAGAAGCUCUCGCCGUCCUUGAUCCGCAGACAGAUCUUGUCGUCCUCAAUCUGAAGGAGUCUAUCGCUCCCCCCAAACGAUAUCUUGAGAUAAAGGGGUCUCUCGAUAAUACAACUGACAUUGAAGCUGAUGGGUCCCUAUUGGUCCAGGCUGAAUAAAAAAAAGGAUUACACCAUCCAAAUAAUGGCACCUCUCAACUUCAUUACAC
rnacentral:lncRNA from 1 species